rnacentral:misc_RNA from 1 species
UUAUGCUUGUGCCCUCGGUAAUGUUUAUACAUUUGGACCAACUUUUAGAGCUGAGCAUUCUCACACAUCAAGGCAUUUAGCAGAGUUUUGGAUGAUAGAGCCAGAGAUGGCUUUUGCAGAUCUGCAGGAUGAUAUGAAUUACGCCGAGAGCUACGUUAAAUUUCUCUGCCAAUGGUUACUAGACCAUUGUCGGGAAGAUAUGGACUUCAUGGCCAAGAAUUUUGACUCCACUGCCAUUGAUCGACUAAAGCUUGUUUCUUCAACGCCAUUUGAGCGCUUAUCUUAUACAAAAGCUAUUGAACUUCUAGAGAAGGUCACAGACAAGAAGUUUGAAAAUAAGGUUGAGUGGG